rnacentral:rRNA from 1 species
CGUGGGAACGUGCCCUUUCUACGGAAUAGCCUCGGGAAACUGAGAGUAAUACCGUAUACGCCUUGGGGGAAGAUUAUCGAAGGAUCGCCGCGUGAUAGUAGUGUGGGUAAUGCUACCAAGCGACGAUCCAUAGCUGGUUUGUAGAGGAUGAUCAGCCACACUGGGACGUGAGACACGGCCCACGACUCCUACGGGAGGCAGCAGUGGGGAAGUCUUAGACAAUGGGGGCCAACCCUGAUCUAGCCAUGCCGCGUGAGUGAUGAAGGCCUUAGGGUUGUAAAGCUCUUUCAGCUGGGAAGA